UACGAAGGGAGCUAGCGUUGUUCGGAAUCACUGGGCGUAAAGCGCACGUAGGCGGAUGUGUCAGUCAGGGGUGAAAUCCCGGAGCUCAACUUCGGAACUGCCUUUGAUACAGCACGUCUUGAGUCCGGAAGAGGUGGGUGGAAUUCCUAGUGUAGAGGUGAAAUUCGUAGAUAUUAGGAAGAACACCGGUGGUGAAGGCGGCCCACUGGUCCGGUACUGACGCUGAGGUGCGAAAGCGUGGGGAGCAAACAGG
rnacentral:rRNA from 1 species